ACGUAGCGAACUAGUAUUUAUGCAUGAACAAACAAAAAAAUUAUGAUGCCCAUUAAUGUGAAGAUAUCUUGCAGGAGCCUACCGAAGAGUUUUUAGCUUCCCCUGUCUUCAUACAUGCAAACCUCAGUCUGUCUAGUUAAGGAUCCUGGCCUGACUCACUUAACUAGCAAGUACUAGAGGCUUGGAGAGUUUAAAUAAGUCACAACUGGAGCAUAUCUUGUCCCAUAGUCGGUUGUGGUCUGCAGUUGAAUUCCUUUGAUAACUUUGAAGAUCACUACCGCACUCGGCACACUACAUCUUGUUUCGUCUGUUCAAGUGUCUACCCAACAUCACGCCUGUUGAGUAUACAUGUCUCUGAAGCACAUGAUUCCUUUUUUUCAGGCAAAAGUCACACGCGGGUUCCAUAUGGUACUCUCUUAUCCUCCCACACAACAUGUAAUGUCUGCUUUUAUAUCUCGUUGCUUGUAAACAGGCUGUUGCACUGGUAAUAACAGAAGCUGUGAAGAUAGCUCUUAUGACAUGAUUUUACACUUAUUUUCUCCUCAUUUGUUUUUAUGUAUUGGCUUCAAAUAAGCUUGAGCAUCCGCAGAUGGUGUCAGUCCCAACAACAUGUGUAGCAACAAUUCGAGCAGCUUUGGAUGCAGCACGUUUCCCUGACGUGUCUAUCAUGUCGUGUACUGCUAAAGUCUCAUUGACACGUGCAUUGAGAGUGAAGGAGAACUGCUUUGAUCGAUUUUCGGCAAAAAAAUUGUAUAUGAGGUGAUUCAUUUGUUUUCUAGUAUGUGGUUGUUGGA